rnacentral:lncRNA from 1 species
CGAGAAUAGAGAGAGAGAAAGGGAGAGCAAGAGUUGCACCAUUUUCUUCUUGAUUUACAUCAUCCAAGUGAAGAAUCAAAAUUCUAAACCGAUUAAAGUGCGGGUUGUGAGUUGGGAAGCUUGGGGAACUAAGAAAUUCCAAAGGGUAAAUAUCACUCUUUCAAGCUUUGUUUUUGAGGUAUAAAGUCUGAUUUAUGGCUUUGAUUCUUUUAUUUUGGUUUAAGAUGCUAUCUAGUUCAUGUUUUGGCUUGAUUACAAGAUAUGCAAGUUGUUGUGAUGAAUUUUGGAUGAUUUAAGCAAGUUAGGGUUUGAUUAAUUUCUGCCUAAACUUGUUGUAUGGUUGAUAGAUGUUAUAUAUAAGAUUAUAUAAGGGGCUUUGGUAGAGUUUGGAACAAGGAAUUGAAGAGAGUUUCAUUGGAAACCAAAAAUUUCAGAUUUCUGGAAUUUCCUAAUUCAGUUCUGCCCGGUUUUGGAACUCAUAUUUAGAGGCCAAAUUAGGCAUGGCCUAAAACAUUAAAGUUGUAUAGAAUGGUAUUUUAUAGGUGCCUACAAAAUUUCAGCUCAAUCGGAGCUAUGUAGCUUGUGAAAAGACGAAAAUACCCUCACUGUUCUAGGGUAUAUUCCAGAGUUCCGCGUGGACAGUUUAGUCUAUUUGGUUGUAUUUAUUCACUAUAAUCCGUUGGGAUUUAGCCUUUUUACAAAACAUGAAAGUUUUAGUAUUCUGUCUUAGCUUUUAAACGCCUCCAAUAACACCUUAAUCGGACCUUGGUAACCUGAGAUAUGACCAUUCCAGUGCAGAGCGGUUAAUUAGCCGACUAGUUGGAUUUGGUUCUGUAAAUUGGGAAUUUGACUAGGUUGCAUUGGAAACUGGACUAAGUGAUCUCCAUGAAAAUUGUAGCCCUGUGUCUUUGCUUCGAAACGGUAUAAGUUACACCUCAAUCCGAUAAGCGUAGCCUCGGAUGUGUUCUUUCCGCAACCACACGUCAAAUCUGUCUUUUGCUAGGUUACAUUUCCACACUUGUUAUCACUUUGAUUUUUGUUCUUAUGUUGUUAUGAGCCUAUGGAACGGCUAUUUACUUGAAUCUAUGAUAUGUAUGACUUUGGCAUUGGCUGAGGAAAAAUAAUGAGGUCAUAAAUGGCUGGAAAAUGGGUAAACACAAGGGGCAUGCCGCCAAAUUUUCACGAGAAAGAUAAACUAGCCUUUGGGAUUCUAGUUCUAUAUUUGACAAAUUUGACUUGGAUACACUGAAAACUAGGUUGAGGUGUCUUCAUGAAAGUUGUAACUCUUUGUCUAAGCUUCGAGACACUACCUAGUACAUUUUGAUCUGAUAAUCACAGCUCCAGUUAUGGGCAAAAUCGUGUAAACCGUUUUGUACCAUUUUCAUUUCCGCGCACGCCCGAUGCAUUCCUUUACUGUUUUUCCGCUUUGAUCGUUUUAGUCCUUAUUUCCAUUUGUGAUCUAGGGCUUGGACUUGAGCAAGACAAUAAUAAAUGAUGGAUGAGGUUCGUGAGUCGUGGUUGGUGAGUGAUCCCUCAACUAUUUCCAAAGUUACUUUUGAAGUAAUUCUUGCAUUUAUUACUCAAUUGCAUAUCAUUUGGGUUUGGGUGUGUGCCAUGACAUAAUUUGGCUCCAAUGAGAUCCUGGAAAGUCUUGUGCUUAGAACCAAUGUCUCCACUACUGUUUACACAUUCUUUGGAGCACGAUGGCUCCUUACUUCUGUUUCCCGGUUACUUGAUCUAAACGAGCAUUGGAUAUUUAAGUACAAGAACUUCACUGGCUCACAUGAGCAAUAAAUGAACAUUUGAUUACUGCAUCAUGACAUCAUAUCAAUGCUUUAUUGUGAAAUAUACUUGGCUGUUGAUUUUACUGGUCACUCACUGAGUUUCUAGCUCACCCCCUAUUAUCUUCUUCUCCCCACAGGGAUCGAAGUAAAGGAAGAACUUGUAUUUGGAUCUUUGUGUGGCUGGAUGGCGUACAUCUUGUAUAGUUUAGAUUUGGUUUUGGUUUAUGUACUUUUGGACCUGUAUAAAUAUUUGGAAUUGAAUCGGAUGUAUAUCUACAUUCGACGCUUAGACCUAGUUUCCGCUUCGCUUAUAAUAUGUAACUUUUGGAGAAUUGGAUGUAUUAUUCGAGUUGUACCUUGUAAUUUACUUGAGAAAUGUAGUAGUGAGUGAGUCCCGGCGAGAGUUGGGCAGACGGUCCGCUAAACCCUUUGGUUCGCCUUAGGGGGAGGUGGGGCCGUCACAUAUUUUGUAUUAAAUGAUAAUUGAUAAAUGAAUUAUUAAUUAAGG